UACGUAGGUGGCAAGCGUUGUCCGGAUUUACUGGGCGUAAAGAGCGCGCAGGCGGUCGAGUAAGUCGAAUGUGAAAGCCCCCGGCUUAACUGGGGAGGGUCAUUCGAUACUGUUCGACUUGAAGGCAGGAGAGGGCAGCAGAAUUCCCGGUGUAGUGGUGAAAUGCGUAGAUAUCGGGAGGAAUACCAGUGGCGAAGGCGGUUCUCUGGGCAUUACCUGACGCUGAGGAGCGAAAGUGUGGGGAGCGAACAGG
rnacentral:rRNA from 1 species